CCUACGGGUGGCUGCAGUCGAGGAUCUUCGGCAAUGGGGGAAACCCUGACCGAGCGACGCCGCGUGUGCGAUGAAGGCCUUCGGGUUGUAAAGCACUGUCGGGGGGGAGAAAGGGCGCGAGCCGUGAUCGACCCCCGGAGGAAGGACGGGCUAAGUUCGUGCCAGCAGCCGCGGUAAGACGAACCGUCCGAACGUUAUUCGGAAUCACUGGGCUUAAAGGGCGCGUAGGCGGGACCGUAAGUCAGGGGUGAAAUCCCGCGGCUCAACCGCGGAAG
rnacentral:rRNA from 1 species